rnacentral:lncRNA from 1 species
AGCAUUGGACAUCAUGCUAGCCUCUGGGGACAGAGAGUUACACAAAAUAUGACUCUCACCUUUAAAAGAUCAUAGUCUUUCUGGAGGUGUGGAAACUAUGAGCAGAGAGAUAGUAAUGCCAGGGACAGCAUCAGAAUUUGUAGAACUCUGUCUUAUCUGGGUGCAGAUACGUGAGCCCCAGCUACUGUUCCAGCACCGUGUCUGCCUGCCUUCUUCCAUGUUUCCUGCCAUGAUGGUCAUGGACUCUGAAACUCUUGGAUCCAUAAACCUCCAGAGUUAGAAGGCAGACACCACAAUCAAAUGUAUGCCUACCUGGGUGCUCUGAGAGAGCAAGUGCAUCCCGCCUGGAGGGAAAGCAACCAUGGACCAUGUUUAUUCUUCUUUCAGGCAUUAUUCCUGUCCAAACUUUGCAUGAGCUGAAACUAAAUAGAUAAAAACAUUCUCUCUCUGCGCCUCCCCGGUCCUUGCCAGUACUGUUACUUACAUAACUAUCUGGACCUUGGUAUUUGAGUUCACAAAAGCCAAUGCGUAAAUGUCCUUCACUUUUUCAGUUUCCAAAAAGCCUUUGCUAACCUAGAAUUUUUGCAUUUGAAAGUCUAUUAAAUGUUUCCUUUUGCCUGUAAAGUAAAAA